CAUGCACCGGGAGCCCGACGUGGGAUCCGAUCCCGGGUCUCCAGGAUCGCGCCCUGGGCCAAAGGCAGGCGCCAAACCGCUGCGCCUCCCAGGGACCCCCUCUCGGCUCCUUAUACGGGAACACAGAGCCCGAGGUCUGAGCGCUCCGAAGAGCCCAGAGACAGCCCCAGAAGAGGACCACCCACCGGAGGGCAGGAGCUCCCCGCCGGAGUCCCGCCUCUGCUCCCGCCCCCUCGGACCCGCCUCCGUUCCACCUCGCUUCCAGGUUCCAGCCCCGCCCCUCGGAGGCCGCAGCCAAUCGGAGGGCCGCGAGCCCGCCCCCGCGCGUGCCGCGCCCCCUUCCCGCCGGCCACGCCCCCUUCCCGCCGGCAGUGACGUGCCCCGCCCCGCAGCCGCGGGAUUCAAACUCCCGGAAGCGGAAGCGGAAGCGGCAGCGGCAGCGGCAGCGGGAGGACCCGGCUUCGCCUCAGGUGCUGGCCAUUAAAGCGUCACUGUGUACGUCCGCAGCCCGGUCUCUGCCCGCCCAGAUAGUUUCAGAAAUGUCUUCCAGAAGUCCCAAAGAUUUCAUUAAAAGUAAAUGGGGAUCAAAGCCUAGUAACUCCAAAUCAGAAACUGCAUUAGAAAAAUUGAAGGGAGAAAUUUCAGCCUUAAAAACAUCAGUGGAUGAAAUUACAAGUGGAAAAGGAAAGUUGACUGAUAAAGACAGACACAGACUUUUGGAGAAAAUUCAAGUCCUAGAAGCUGAGAUGGAGAAGAAUGCAUAUCACCUCACAGAGAAAGACAAAGAAAUACAGAGACUCAGAGAGCAGCUGAAAGUCAAGUAUAAUAAUACUGCAUUGCUUGAACAGCUGGAGGAGAAGAUAAAGGAAGGCAAAAGGAGGGAACAGCUGUUGAAAUCCUUGUCUGAAGAGACAGAUGUAUUGAAAAAACAGUUGUCUGCUACAACUGCAAGGCUUGCUGAACUUGAAAGCAAAGCCAGUACACUCCGCUUAUCACAGACUAUGGCUACAAGCUGCUUCAACUCAUCAAUGAAUAAUAUUCAUGAAAUGGAAAUACAGCUGAAAGAUGCUCUGGAGAAAAAUCAGCAGUGGCUUGUGUAUGAUCAACAACGGGAGGUCUAUGUAAAAGGACUUUUAGCCAAGAUCUUUGAGUUGGAACAGAAACUGGAAACAGCUGCUCAUUCAUGCCCACAGCAGACAAAAAAGGCUGAAUCAGAAGAUUUUCUUCAAGAAGAAAAGCAAAAAUACUACAACCAUCUCUUGGCAAAUGCAAAAAGAGACCUCGAGGUUGAACGACAGACCAUAACUCAGUUGAAUUUUGAACUUAGUGAAUUUCAAAGAAAAUAUGAAGAAACCCAAAAAGAAGUUCAAGAUUUAAAUCAACUGUUGUCUUCACAAAGAAAGGCAGAUGUACAACAUCUGGAAGACGAUAGGCAUAAAACAGAGAAAAUACAAAGGCUCAAGGAAGAGUAUGAUAUUACUAGGGAAAAACUUGAAGAGGAGAAGAAGAGAUCUGAAGAGCUCUUUUCUCAGGUCCAGUUCCUUUACACGUCUCUGUUAAAGCAUCAAGAAGAACAAACAAGGAUAGUUCUGCUGGAACAACAGAAGCAGCUUCUGGAGCUUGCCCUCCUCACAGAGCCAUUAGUCACUUUCCAAGGAGAGUCUGAAAACAGAGUAAAAGUCGCCUCACCAAAAACUCCCACUGCUGCGCUAAAUGAAAGCCUGGUGGAAUGUCCCACGUGCGAUAUACAGUACCCUGCCACAGAACAUCGAGAUCUACUUGUCCACGUUGAAUACUGUUCCAAUUAGCAAUAUAAGUAUUCUUUGUUUUUGUGUCAAAAGAUUCAAUACUGUAUCUUAUGUUAGCUUAUGGAUAUUUUGAAUUACUUAUUUCACCGCUUACAUAAGAAACUGCCUCUCUACCUUCAGAGACUCUGGUACAGGAGUGAAUCAUUGUAUUUUUUUGGCUGCUUUGCAUUUUCCUUGGCAGAUUUACCUCCCUGAGAUCGUUCAUCUUCAGGCUUCAGUGAUGCAAUGUGUGAGCUGAGGCAGCUGACAUUUUGCACUGUUAAAGUACUUGAUGAAGAAAAGAUAGUUCAGGUUAUUGCUCACGGGUUAAAUUUGUUGCACCAACAAGCAAAUAUUUUAUGUUUUGUAGGUUUUUAAAAACCAGAGAUAACUAACCAAGGAUCUUAACUAUGUUGGCUUUUGUUACCCAAGCCUCAUAAACGUACAAUUCCGAUUUUCAUGGCAUUGUUAUACUUUCUAUAUUUUUUCCUUUCUAUUACAAGGCGGUUAUUAGAAAAGUUGGAAAUUUUCUUGACCUUUUUUGCUGCUUACUGUUGAAACCUAGCUGUGUUCUAAGCACAAAGCAGAUUCUGCUUAAGAAAUACUCAGUGGACACAUAAUGUUCUCUUUCAUACUAACUGACUGUAACUUUAAGUUGAAUUUUGUUACCACAUGUUGGUCAUUUAAAGGUGUUAUAAUGAAUUUUAGCAAAACCAUCUAGCCCUCUCAUUUGAUUGGCAGGCAUUUUAUUUAUUUAUUUUUGGCACUCUUAAAGUUGGGCAGUGUAAUGAGCAGAUAUUUGCUUAUCCGAAUAUAUAUUUUUAUACAUCUGUGUGUAAACCCCCAAUUUUUUUUUUAUUCAAGUUUUCUAAA